GGAGAGAUUAUGGAUGCCAUGUGUAGGAACAAUGUUUCUAUGUAUAAAUGAAAAUGUAAGCAUCCCACCUCAUGAGUAAAGUGGCAACACCGGAAUUGAAAUCAUUAGGCCGUGUUUGAAACCAGUAGUGAAGUAUGAUAUUUAAUUCGAUGACCCACGAAAAACCUUACCAAAAUUUGAAUGAGUCUUAUAAGACUUAGGUCUGAUUUUAUAUUUAUUAUAAAAUUAGACUUUAAAUAAAAAUUUUUAAUUUUUAUAUACAAGUGUUGCACGGCUGUUUUUAGUUGGUGUUCUGAGACUAAACAAUGUUUGAACAUAAUUUAUUAAUAUUUAUUAUGCUUACGUUUUUAAUUGACUCAAGCCCUUUAUAUUCAUUUAAUGCUAAUGGUUAAUUUAUCUAAUAAAUAAAGGUUAUACUGAAAAGUAUAACAAGGGGACCAAUACAAGUCAUCAUGACCUACAUUUUAUUUUGGGCUAUAG
rnacentral:rRNA from 1 species